rnacentral:pre_miRNA from 7 species
UGCAGGCAGAGGACUCUUCUCAAUGCCCUGUCUCCCAACCCUUGUACCAGUGCUGUGCCUCAGACCCUGGUACAGGCCUGGGGGAUAGGGACUUGGGAACCCCAGCAGCAACAACUC